UGUGUGUUUAUGUUUGUAUGUGCAUGUAUAUAUGUGUAUACCUACACACACACACACACACACACACACACACAUAUAAAAUACCC
rnacentral:miRNA from 1 species